rnacentral:rRNA from 1 species
CUUCGGACAGAUUACAAGGUGCUGCAUGGUUGUCGUCAGCUCGUGCCGUGAGGUGUCAGGUUAAGUCCUAUAACGAGCGCAACCCCUGUGGUUAGUUGCCAGCGAGUAAUGUCGGGAACUCUAGCCAGACUGCCGGUGCAAACCGCGAGGAAGGUGGGGAUGACGUCAAAUCAUCACGGCCCUUACGUCCUGGGCCACACACGUGCUACAAUGGUAGGGACAGAGAGCAGCCACUUCGCGAGAAGGAGCGAAUCUACAAACCCUAUCACAGUUCGGAUCGCAGUCUGCAACUCGACUGCGUGAAGCUGGAAUCGCUAGUAAUCGCAUAUCAGCCAUGAUGCGGUGAAUACGUUCCCGGGCCUUGUACACACCGCCCGUCAAGCCAUGGAAGCCGGGGGUACCUGAAGUCGGUCACCGCAAGGAGCCGCCUAGGGUAAAACUGGUAACUGGGGCUAAGUCGUAACAAGGUAACCGUA